CAAUAAGCGAUCUCCAUCCGAGCUUCCAUGGCAACCGAUCUCCAUCCGAGCUUCUACAGUAAGCGAAUUCCAUCCAAACUUCCACGACAAUCGGUCUCCAUCCGAGCUUCUACAAUAAGCGGUCUCCAUUUGGGCUUCCACGGCAAUCGAUCUCCAUCCGAGCUUCUAUAGUAAGCGGCCUCCUUUCGGACAUCUGCAAGAAUCGGACUCCGUCCGAACUUCUACAGUGGAUGGAUUCAAGAUGAACUUCUACAACGGACGGGCUCCAGC
rnacentral:lncRNA from 1 species